CAGUCGCCACGGUAAUACGGAGGGUGCAAGCGUUAAUCGGAAUUACUGGGCGUAAAGCGCACGCAGGCGGUCUGACAAGUCAGAUGUGAAAUCCCCGGGCUUAACCUGGGAACUGCAUUUGAAACUGUCAGGCUGGAGUCUUGUAGAGGGGGGUAGAAUUCCAGGUGUAGCGGUGAAAUGCGUAGAGAUCUGGAGGAAUACCGGUGGCGAAGGCGGCCCCCUGGACAAAGACUGACGCUCAGGUGCGAAAGCGUGGGGAGCAAACAGGAUUAGAGACCCCUGUAGUCCCUGUCUCUUAUAC
rnacentral:rRNA from 1 species